UCUGCUCCCCCCGUCUCUCUCCUUCUCUCCCUCUCCCUCACCCUCUCUUUCACUCUCUGUCUGUCCAAUGCAGGCGGCUCUAAGUUGGGAAGCUCAUUAAUUAGCGGUCCGGGGGUAGGAGGAGCCGGCUGGAAUUAGCCUGCCUAAUGCGCCUGUCAGUCCCGGCGCCGCGCCUCGCUCGGCCCGAGCUGUUUGUAAAUUACAUUAGCAGCCCCUUUAUUGCACCCGAACCUCGGGCAACGGAAAAGCCACCGCCCCUGCCCCAAACUGCUAGCCGAGCUCCUGGCGCACCCUCCUCCCGCCGGCCUGGCUGCAAAAACAGCACCGGCCCGAAGGUCUCCGUGUUUCCGACCCGGGAUAUGGAGCCCGAAAGGGUAGCGGGAACCCCAGCCUGGGAGGGACGCGGCCGCCGCGCGGGCCAGAAGCAGAGAGGAAGAAUGGACAGAAGAUGGGAGGUGACGGGCAGCCAGGAUGGCAGGAAACAGACACCCACCCACCACCCCAGUAGCCCAGAGGUCUAUGAAGAGGAUAAAGGAACCUAAGAGCAUGUGCAUAGGUGCAGAAGGAGGGACCACCUUGGAGGCAAAGGGAACUACCAAGUGCAAGGCCAAAGAUGCCACCCUGAGAGAGGAUCCAGAGUCCCCCGUAUCUCCUCCCUCUGUUGUCCUGGCGGUAUGCUGCUGGAGGUCUGUCUCACUGCUGUGGCGGGGCGCCUGGCGCAGGCCAGGCAUGGGUCCUGGGCUAGGCCAGGUGGAAAGGCGGAAGGCCGAGUUGGGACAGACAAGAAGACCAAGGAGCCGCCCGCCCGGUAAACGGACAUAGGAAAGGCCUGAGUCAGGUUUCUCAUAAUAAAUAAACUGCACGUGAAUAAUUCAGCAGUCGCGCGGGGGCCCGUUGCAUUAGCGCCGCCUCUGCACGGCGUCCCAGACCUCGCGGAGGGGAGUAGGCCACUCUUCAAGGCCCUUGAAGAGGGAGUUGUGUAGAAGAUCCCCUGCCCAACAGUAUCCUGGAUUCUACCCAGGUCGAGUGGGAGAGGCUCCCCGUUCCCAAUUCCCUCGGGCCCCCGAGAAUCAGGGGGCCGCCUGCUGGGCAGUCUACCCCAGCUAAGCCGCUCCUGUGUCCCAAGACCUCGGGCAAGAAAAGACAGGCGGUGAGACGGAAUCAGAAUAAAGGACGCGGACGUCUGACCUGCGGAAAACCCAGCAUCUGCAGUGCCCAGCCGCACAGGGAACGUAGGCGGCGUGGCUCCAAGCACAGCGAAGACGCCAGGCUCAGGCUUGGAUCUGAGCUCAGAGCCGGGAUCCCUCAGAGCUGCCUCGUCCUGGCCGGGAUUUUCCUUGCCCUGAAGUGAGGCACCAGGGAAGCUGCAGGGCCCUCCGCCCUCUCUGAGCUCCCACGUACUUGAGCCUCUCCCCGUCUUUCUUGGGCCUGUGGAUGCAAUUCUCGCCGCACCAGACUCCCCUGUCUCCUCGCUGCCCUCUAGGUACAGUCCAUAGUGCCUGAAGCCUAAUUUUGUUUGAGCGGAACCCAGCCCCUUUGGCUCUUUCUAAUUCCCACAAUCCCUGGUUUCCCGAUCCUGAGGAAUUGCAUUCAAUUCUCACACCCACCAACGCUCAAUCCCUCCAGUUCCUCUCCAGCCCCUUCACUUCCAUUAAUUAGGUCGACUCCCUUCCUUCGCUGCCGCUCCUGUCCCCACGCAGCCUCCCUACACCUCAGCACUGAGCCUCGGGGCAAGACCUCUGCCCUGGCUCCGCUAGCCCUGCGGGGGGCCGCACUCACCAGGCCCGGAAAGGCACCAGGCCUGGAAAGGUAUCUUCACAGGGAUUCCGCAAAGCCAGAUCCCAAGCCUCCAUGGAGGCCACCAGCCCUCCCCGCACCCAUCUUCCUCCUCUUCCUCUUUCUCUUUUCCGCUUCCCUCCGCCUCUAGGUAUUUCUUUCUCAUUCGUUUCUUUUCGUUUGGUGAGGUGCCACCCACCGCAGCCCUGUCCCCUAGGGAGUCCUGGACUAACUUUGCCACCCUCGUGGCCUUAGCCCGGACUCUGAGUCUCGAGGGGCUUCUGGGAGGCGGCAGUAGGGCAGCUCGGGUGUCUUCGCAGAGACAGGUGAGGGUGGCUGGCGAUUCCCCAGCCUCAGAUGGCUCUGCUACCAGCUGGCUGUGUGAUCCUGGCCGAUGGGGUGCCAGGCGUUAGAACCCUUCCCUCCAAUCCUCACCACGUCUCCAUUUUGCCAAAGAAGAGACUGAGGUUAAGGUCGCGAUGCCCUGGCCAGCACCAAAGGUGGGAUUUGAACACACAUCGCGUUUGGAGCGGCUCUAGUGUUUAAACCACACAGUAUGACAUUGGAUGGGUGAAUCGAGCCCUCGCAGGGCCUGGAGUGACGUAGGCAGAGAGGAGUUGGUCUGAAUCUCCAGGUGUUCCUUUCUUUCUGUCCUACGAAAGCUUUGGAAUUCUUAUUUUCAGGUAAACGAUUUUGGCAGUGCUCGGAGAAGGAUAGAGGUAAGACCCAAGGAGGAACUUCCUGCAUGCUACGGGAGACCCCCUGGGCCGAGGAGGCGCGGGCAGCCUUCACCCGGCCAAGGGAGCAGCCAUUGAUCUUGGAUCUGUUUUUCCUCAUGAGUCUGUCCUGUGGGGCCCGGGGCACAGUCCCCAGCCUCAAUCCUGGACCCAGGGGGAGAAGGGGCUCGGGGAGAAGGGCGCACCCCCCGACCCGGGACCGACGGCAGCCCUAGCCAGUCCCCGCUCUCUCCCUCUCCAGGGGUCUCUCUGUGAGGUCGCGUCCUCCUAGCUGCAGAGCGUCGGGGGCUGGCUGGAGGGCAGCAGAGUGGAAGCCAGGGCCUGGGACCCUCUGGUUGGGCAAGGAGGGGCUGGAGUCCGGCUCCCAGUGACCCAGUCCCCAGUCCCAGCCACGGGGUCACAGGUGGCGGCCCAGACAGGCCACGGGUCCCUCGCUACAAGUCCCAUUACAUUGUAUUUAUGUUUCACUUUAUUGUUUUUUUUCCUCCUCUCAUUAUUGUCUCACUCUGGGGGAGGCAAAGGAUAUAAUAUAUUCAUCUUUAUUAUACCAAAUCUGUGUGAAGCAUUUAAUAAAACGCUGUUUCCACACA